rfam:Pseudomonas pseudoalcaligenes KF707 = NBRC 110670 strain KF707 ctg1737, whole genome shotgun sequence.
GGGCAGGAUGUGUGAAGUGGGCCCACCUCGCAAGCGAGGUGGACCCAUUUCACCAUCCCCUUAUUCGCACUACGUGCUCAACGGGGGUCCUGCUCUCCGAGGGU